CAUGACUGUUAUUCUUCGUUGAAAAUUGAGGUUUUGCUGUUUCUUUUUCGAUUGCUGUCUGAUCAACAACUUUAUGAUGAUUCAAAUCAUGCAAAUGGAACCAUUGGGUGGGAGUUGACUGAUGGGUUUCAGAUCAAAGAACAGAGUAAAAUAUUGAGUAUGAAAAGGAAAUUGCAAUUAUAUUAAUGAAAUCUGUGAACAAAUUACAAGUACUGCAAUGGUGGAAUGUAAAAUAACAAAGACAACAAACUGAUAACAAUAGCUAUCAGCCCCAAGAGCUCAAAGGCUCCUCCAAUCACCAAGAUGAUGACCCAUUCUUUCUAACAGAAUUCUUCCUCCUUUCUUCCCUCUCCCUGCUUCCUAAUAUAUAGUAACUAUCACAUGAAAUGCAUACACCCUGUAGCCACGUCAUCAUUCUUUUAUUCCCUUUUUCCUCCCUUAGUCUUGGGCCAAAGUCAAGGCCCACUUUCACAUUCAAGUCUCUAUCAUUGACACUUGUUACGGCUCAAAGUUCAAAUGAGAGUGCUGAAGCAGCUAGUAUAUUGGUUUGGCUGAAGCCUGUAGAGACGAUUUUGGAAGACUUGUC